rnacentral:rRNA from 1 species
GAUGAACGCUAGCGGCAGGCCUAACACAUGCAAGUCGAGGGGCAUCAUGGCGUAGCAAUACGCUGAUGGCGACCGGCGCACGGGUGCGUAACGCGUAUGGAACCUACCCACCGCAGGGGGAUAACCCGCCGAGAGGCGGACUAAUACCCCAUGGUUCCCCGACCCUGCCUGGGGUUGGGGGUAAAGCCUACGGGCGGCGGUGGAUGGCCCUGCGUGCCAUUAGCUGGCUGGUGGGGUAACGGCCCACCAGGGCGACGAUGGCUAGGGGGUCUGAGAGGACGAUCCCCCACACUGGUACUGAGACACGGACCAGACUCCUACGGGAGGCAGCAGUGAGGAAUAUUGGUCAAUGGGCGGAAGCCUGAACCAGCCAUGCCGCGUGCAGGAUGACGGCCCUACGGGUUGUAAACUGCUUUUCCCCGGGGCGAAUAACCCCCUCGCGAGGGGGGAUGCCGGUACCGGGGGAAUAAGGAUCGGCUAACUCCGUGCCAGCAGCCGCGGUAAUACGGAGGAUCCGAGCGUUAUCCGGAUUUACUGGGUUUAAAGGGUGCGUAGGCGGGUGGCUCAGUCGGCGGUGAAAUGCAGCGGCUCAACCGUUGCCCUGCCGUCGAAACUGGCCGCCUUGAAUUCGGUCGAGGCCGGCGGAAUGCGCGGUGUAGCGGUGAAAUGCUUAGAUAUCGCGCGGAACGCCGAUUGCGGAGGCAGCUGGCUGGACCGAGAUUGACGCUGAUGCACGACAGCGUGGGGAUCGAACAGGAUUAGAUACCCUGGUAGUCCACGCCGUAAACGAUGAUGGCUGGGUGUUGGCGAUACACUGUCAGCGCCUGAGCGAAAGCAUUAAGCCAUCCACCUGGGGAGUACGAUCGCAAGGUUGAAACUCAAAGGAAUUGACGGGGGCCCGCACAAGCGGAGGAACAUGUGGUUUAAUUCGAUGAUACGCGAGGAACCUUACCUGGGCUCGAACGCCCACCGACGGCACCGGAGACGGUGCUCUCCAGCGAUGGCGGUGGGCGAGGUGCUGCAUGGUUGUCGUCAGCUCGUGCCGUGAGGUGUCGGGUUAAGUCCCAUAACGAGCGCAACCCUUACUGCCAGUUGCCAUCGGGUGAAGCCGGGGACUCUGGCGGGACUGCCGGCGUAAGCCGUGAGGAGGGUGGGGAUGACGUCAAAUCAGCACGGCCCUUACGUCCAGGGCUACACACGUGUUACAAUGGCCGGUACAGAGGGCAGCCACCCCGCGAGGGGGCGCCAAUCCCGAAAUCCGGUCCCAGUUCGGAUUGGGGUCUGCAACCCGACCCCAUGAAGUUGGAUUCGCUAGUAAUCGCGCAUCAGCCACGGCGCGGUGAAUACGUUCCCGGGCCUUGUACACACCGCCCGUCAAGCCAUGGAAGCCGGGGGUACCUGAAGUGCGUAACCGCGAGGAGCGCCCUAGGGUAAGACCGGUGACUGGGGCU